GUAGGUGAACCUGCGGAAGGAUCAUUACCGAGAUAGGGUCUUUCGGGGCCCAACCCUCCCACCCUUUGUGUAUGUACCUCUGUUGCUUCGGUGGCUCCCGCGGCCGCGGUCCGCCAGAGGCCCUAUAUAUUCUGAGUGAUCAGUGCCGUCUGAGUAAACAUGCAAAUAAACGAAAACUUUCAACAACGGAUCUCUUGGUUCUG
rnacentral:misc_RNA from 1 species